rnacentral:rRNA from 1 species
AGCAGCCGCGGUAAUUCCAGCUCCAAUAGCGUAUAUUAAAGUUGUUGCAGUUAAAAAGCUCGUAGUUGAAUUUCGGGACCAAUAUGUCUGUCGUGCCUUCGGUACGUACGGGUAUAAUUGGUUUCUACCUUCUGAUGAACCUUGAUGCCAUUAAUUUGGUGUCUUGGGGACUCAGGACUGUUACCUUGAAAAAAUUAGAGUGUUUAAAGCAGGCAUAUGCUUGAAUACAUUAGCAUGGAAUAAUGAAAUAGGACGUUCGAUUCUAUUUUGUUGGUUUCUAGGAUCGACGUAAUGAUUAGUAGGGAUAGUUGGGGGCAUUAGUAUUCAAUUGUCAGAGGUGAAAUUCUUGGAUUUAUUGAAGACUAACUACUGCGAAAGCAUUUGCCAAGGAUGUUUUCAUUAAUCAAGAACGAAAGUUAGGGAUCGAAGACGAUCAGAUACCGUCGUAGUCUUAACCAUAAACUAUAGCCGACUAGGGAUCGGAUGGAUGUUAAUUUUUAUGUACUCAUUCGGCGCCUUA